rnacentral:rRNA from 1 species
AUUGAACGCUGGCGGCAGGCCUAACACAUGCAAGUCGAACGAGUGGCGGACGGGUGAGUAAUGUCUGGGAAACUGCCCGCUGGAGGGGGAUAACUACUGGAAACGGUAGCUAAUACCGCAUACCAUCUGAUGUGCCCAGAUGGGAUUAGCUAGUAGGUUGGGUAACGGCUCACCUAGGCGACGAUCCCCCUCUGGUCUGAGAGGAUGACCAGCCAAACUGGAACUGAGACACGGUCCAGACUCCUACGGGAGGCAGCAGUGGGGAAUAUUGCACAAUGGGCGAAAGCCUGAUGCAGCCAGGCCGCGUGUAUGAAGAAGGCCUUCGGGUUGUAAAGUACGUUCAGCGAGGAGGCGUUACUCGCAGAAGAAGCGACGGCUAACUCCGUGCCAGCAGCCGCGGCAAUAC